rnacentral:rRNA from 1 species
GAUGAACGCUAGCGGCAGGCCUAAUACAUGCAAGUCGAACGGUGUCUUCGGACAUAGUGGCGCACGGGUGCGUAACACGUAUGCAACCUACCUUACAUUGGGGGAUAGCCUUUCGAAAGGGAGAUUAAUACCGCAUAAGACAGUAGCUGGGCAUCCAGCAGCUGUUAAAGAUUUAUCGAUGUAUGCUGGGCAUGCGUCCAAUUAGCUAGUUGGUGAGGUAACGGCUGACCAAGGCAAUGAUUGGUAGGGGAACUGAGAGGUCAAUCCCCCACACUGGCACUGAGAUACGGGCCAGACUCCUACGGGAGGCAGCAGUGGGGAAUAUUGGACAAUGGGCGAAAGCCUGAUCCAGCCAUGCCGCGUGUGUGAAGAAGGCCUUCGGGUUGUAAAGCACUUUAAGUGGGGAGGAAAAGCGGUGCGUGAAUAUCGUAUCGCCGUGACGUUACCCACAGAAUAAGCACCGGCAAACUCCGUGCCAGCAGCCGCGGUAAAAC